CUGCGCGCUUACCAUGCAAGUCGAACGGGCACUUCGGUGCUAGUGGCAGACGGGUGAGUAACACGUGGGAACGUACCUUUCGGUUCGGAAUAAUUCAGGGAAACUUGGACUAAUACCGGAUACGCCCUUCGGGGGAAAGAUUUAUCGCCGAUAGAUCGGCCCGCGUCUGAUUAGCUAGUUGGUGAGGUAAUGGCUCACCAAGGCGACGAUCAGUAGCUGGUCUGAGAGGAUGAUCAGCCACAUUGGGACUGAGACACGGCCCAAACUCCUACGGGAGGCAGCAGUGGGGAAUAUUGGACAAUGGGCGCAAGCCUGAUCCAGCCAUGCCGCGUGAGUGAUGAAGGCCUUAGGGUUGUAAAGCUCUUUUGUCCGGGAAGAUAAUGACUGUACCGGAAGAAUAAGCCCCGGCUAACUUCGUGCCAGCAGCCGCGGUAAUACGAAGGGGGCUAGCGUUGCUCGGAAUCACUGGGCGUAAAGGGCGCGUAGGCGGACUCUUAAGUCGGGGGUGAAAGCCCAGGGCUCAACCCUGGAAUUGCCUUCGAUACUGGGAGUCUUGAGUUCGGAAGAGGUUGGUGGAACUGCGAGUGUAGAGGUGAAAUUCGUAGAUAUUCGCAAGAACACCAGUGGCGAAGGCGGCCAACUGGUCCGAUACUGACGCUGAGGCGCGAAAGCGUGGGGAGCAAACAGGAUUAGAUACCCUGGUAGUCCACGCCGUAACGAUGAAUGCCAGCCGUUGGGGAGCUUGCUCUUCAGUGGCGCAGCUAACGCUUUAGCAUUCGCCUGGGGAGUACGUCGCAGAUUAAACUCAAAGGAAUUGACG
rnacentral:rRNA from 1 species